rnacentral:lncRNA from 1 species
GUUUAUUUGAACAUGAUCUGAUAAAUAAUAACAAUGGUAACUUUUUGUAUAGUUCAGUAUUACAAUAAGAGAGUAACCCUUUAAACUUGAUAAUGCUCGGGUGAGCUGUGUAGUACAUAGGUAUGCACUUGUUUUUUAAAAAUACAAUAUUUUCAUUUUUACACAUAAAUAAACACGUAACAGAAAGCUUUCAACUUUAGCGGUUUCAUUUGUAUGACGUCAUGUUUUGAAAUGACUUAAAUGCGCCAAAAAGAUUAAUAGACUUUCGCGGAAUUUUAUUUGAUUUUUAUUUUGUCGAUUUCUCCGAGCUCUUGUGCAUCGCUUCUUUUUAAUAUGCAUACGAAUAAGAAUAAAGUUUUUUUGUCUUUUUUUAAUUACACUUUUUAAAACAAUAAAAUCGACAAAGGGUCUGCAAAUAGGUUCCAAUACAUGUAGAUUUACGU